CGAACGCUGGCGGCAGGCUUAACACAUGCAAGUCGAACGGGCGUAGCAAUACGUCAGUGGCGGACGGGUGAGUAACACGUGGGAAUAUGCCUUUCGGUUCGGAACAACUCGGGGAAACCCGUGCUAAUUCCGGAUACGCCCUUACGGGAAAGAUUUAUCGCCGAAGAUUAGCCCGCGUUGGAUUAGCUAGUUGGUGAGGUAAAGGCUCACCAAGGCGACGAUCCAUAGCUGGUUUGAGAGAACGACCAGCCACACUGGGACUGAGACACGGCCCAGACUCCUACGGGAGGCAGCAGUGGGGAAUCUUGGACAAUGGAGGAAACUCUGAUCCAGCCAUGCCGCGUGAGUGAUGAAGGCCUU
rnacentral:rRNA from 1 species